CCGGAGUCUGAAUGACAAGGUGACCAGCUAUGCCAGGAUCUGGAUGACAAGGCUAGCGAGACGAGUCUCACAUCGCCUGGUGAUCUUGGGCUGUGUGUGUGAUUGGACUGACGAGGACGUCAAGGCUUUAACGUGGGGGAGUCUGUCACACCCCAAUAAUCCCACAUCGGAUAGGAAUGGGGAUGUGAUUGGGUAUAUAAGAGACUUAGACACUAGUAAUAAUAACUGAGCUUAAGCAUUUUGGGUUGAUGGUUAGGCCCAACGAGUUAUUGUUACUAGUGGGCUAGGUCAGUACACAACAUCUCUAGGUUCAUGUUCUCAUAUAUAAGUGGUCAUCCUACCACUAUGUUUUCAACCUAUGUUCAAUGACACUAGCUUCAAUAACAUUCUGAUUCAAGUGAUCUUUCUGCCACUAUAUUUUCCAACCUAUAUUUAAUGAUACUAGAUUCAAUGCCCAAUCAUGUUCUUUCUUAUCCUAGUAAUCCACUGUCACGCCCCGGGGUCCAUUUUAGUUUAAAACAUAGCGGAAAAGCGUUUGAAAUUUUUUUUUUUUUGAAAAGCCUGACCCCAGAGUAUGCCAGAUCCGCCACAAACACAAGGAAUCCACUGUUCACACGGACAGAGUCUCCCCUGUAUUUGCACGGCGUCACACAAGUACAAGAAGUAACCCAGGUACAACCACAACCAAAUAAACAUACAAAUAACCAACAAUUAUAUAUUCAUACACCAUUCACAUCACAGGUUCACAUUUAUAUAUUCGACAUUUAAACAUGAAUCCACAUCUAUCAGUUAAAAUGUUUCCAACCACCGAAACAGAUUUUGAAAUACUAAGAUGCAAAAUCCACAGAAAAUCUUUUGAAAACUGUUUCCUACACGGAAACCUUUAUUCUUUAAAAACGCUACCACGAGGGGUAGAAAACCUUUUAUUUCACAAAAUCCAUUUAUUACAUUCACGAAAAUCCAUAUUUUCAAAU
rnacentral:lncRNA from 1 species